rnacentral:lncRNA from 1 species
GGUAAAUGGAAGUUUAGUCAGGCCUUCAUUAUUCUUGCCACCAAGCGUAUACAAACUGCCAUCGUUUGGGUCUGGAAGAAAUGCUGGCUCUUCCACGUGUAUUGGCACCUGCAGUACAGGAUCUUCUUUUAAAGUCCACUUGAUCGCUCCCGUCCGCUUGCUGACAGCAUGCAAACUUCCAUCAAGAGUUGAAACAAACAAGAGUGUUUCAGGCACAGUUACUGAGCUGGUGUUCCCGGGGCUCGGCGAGAGCAGCAGCACCGCGGCCAGGCCGAACAGCAGGCAGCGGAGCGGCUCCAUGGCUGCCACGGCGGCCGCUCCCUCCGCGCGGCGCUGCCUGCCGGCCGCGGCGUGUCC